GAGUGUUGGCUCAGUGGUAGAGCACUUGCCUGGCAUGUGUGAGGCCCUGGGUUCCAUCCUCAGCACUGCA
rnacentral:tRNA from 1 species